UACGUAGGGGCCGAGCGUUGUCCGGAGUUAUUGGGCGUAAAGCGCGCGCAGGCGGCUUGGCGCGCCCGACGUGAAAGCCCCCGGCUUAACCGGGGAGAGUCGUCGGGGACGGCCGGGCUUGAGGGCGGGAGAGGGUGGUGGAAUUCCCGGUGUAGUGGUGAAAUGCGUAGAGAUCGGGAGGAACACCUGUGGCGAAGGCGGCCGCCUGGGCCGACCCUGACGCUGAGGCGCGAAGGCGUGGGGAGCGAACGGG
rnacentral:rRNA from 1 species